rnacentral:rRNA from 1 species
CUGCCGGUGACAAACCGGAGGAAGGUGGGGAUGACGUCAAAUCAUCAUGCCCCUUAUGAUUUUGGGCUACACACGUGCUACAAUGGACAAUACAAAGGGCAGCUAAACCGCGAGGUCAAGCAAAUCCCAUAAAGUUGUUCUCAGUUCGGAUUGUAGUCUGCAACUCGACUACAUGAAGCUGGAAUCGCUAGUAAUCGUAGAUCAGCAUGCUACGGUGAAUACGUUCCC